rnacentral:rRNA from 1 species
GAUGAACGCUAGCGGCAGGCCUAAUACAUGCAAGUCGGACGGGAUUCAGGAGCUUGCUUCUGAUGAGAGUGGCGCACGGGUGCGUAACACGUAUGUAACCUACCUUUAUCAGGGGGAUAGCCUCUCGAAAGAGAGAUUAAGCCCGCAUAAAAUCACAGCACAGCAUUGUGUAAUGAUCAAAUAUUUAUAGGAUAAAGAUGGGCAUGCGGAACAUUAGCUAGAUGGCGGGGUAACGGCCCACCAUGGCGACGAUGUUUAGGGGAUCUGAGAGGAUGGCCCCCCACACUGGUACUGAGACACGGACCAGAAGCAUACGGGAGGCAGCAGUAAGGAAUAUUGGUCAAUGGGCGGAAGCCUGAACCAGCCAUGCCGCGUGCAGGAAGACGGCCCUACGGGUUGUAAACUGCUUUUAUACGGGAAUAAACCCAGAUACGUGUAUCUGGCUGAAUGUACUGUAAGAAUAAGGAUCGGCUAACUCCGUG